rnacentral:tRNA from 1 species
GUAUAUAUAAUUUAAUGGUAAAAUUUAAAUUUUCCAAAUUUACUUUAGGGGUUCGAUUCCCCUUAUAUACU